UACGUAGGGGCUAGCGUUGUCCGGAAUCAUUGGGCGUAAAGCGCGUGUAGGCGGUCCGGUAAGUCCGCUGUGAAAGUCGGGGCUCAACCCUCGAAUGCCGGUGGAUACUGUCGGGCUAGAGUGCGGAAGAGGCGAGUGGAAUUCCGUGGUGUAGCGGUGAAAUGACGCAGAGUAUCAGGAGGAACACCUAUUGCGAAGGCAGCUCGCUGGGACGUAACUGACGCUGAGACGCGAAGCGUGGGAGCAAACAGG
rnacentral:rRNA from 1 species